rnacentral:rRNA from 1 species
AGAGUUUGAUCCUGGCUCAGAUUGAACGCUGGCGGCAUGCCUUACACAUGCAAGUCGAACGGUAACGGGCCUUCGGGUGCCGACGAGUGGCGAACGGGUGAGUAAUAUAUCGGAACGUGCCCAAUCGUGGGGGAUAGCCCGGCGAAAGCCGGAUUAAUACCGCAUACGACCUGAGGGUGAAAGCGGGGGAUCUUCGGACCUCGCGCGAUUGGAUCGGCCGAUAUCAGAUUAGGUAGUUGGUGGGGUAAAGGCUUACCAAGCCUACGAUCUGUAGCUGGUCUGAGAGGACGACCAGCCACACUGGGACUGAGACACGGCCCAGACUCCUACGGGAGGCAGCAGUGGGGAAUUUUGGACAAUGGGCGCAAGCCUGAUCCAGCCAUGCCGCGUGCAGGAAGAAGGCCUUCGGGUUGUAAACUGCUUUUGUCAGAGAAGAAAUCUUCUGGGUUAAUACCCUGGGAGGAUGACGGUAUCUGAAGAAUAAGCACCGGCUAACUACGUGCCAGCAGCCGCGGUAAUACGUAGGGUGCGAGCGUUAAUCGGAAUUACUGGGCGUAAAGCGUGCGCAGGCGGCUUUGCAAGACAGAUGUGAAAUCCCCGGGCUUAACCUGGGAACUGCAUUUGUGACUGCAAGGCUAGAGUACGGCAGAGGGGGAUGGAAUUCCGCGUGUAGCAGUGAAAUGCGUAGAUAUGCGGAGGAACACCGAUGGCGAAGGCAGUCCCCUGGGCCUGUACUGACGCUCAUGCACGAAAGCGUGGGGAGCAAACAGGAUUAGAUACCCCGGUAGU